UAGAGUUUGAUCCUGGCUCAGAUUGAACGCUGGCGGCAGGCCUAACACAUGCAAGUCGAGCGGUAACAUGUCUAGCUUGCUAGAUGAUGACGAGCGGCGGACGGGUGAGUAAUGCUUGGGGAUCUGCCUUAGAGUGGAGGAUAACCAUUGGAAACGAUGGCUAAUACUGCAAAGUAUCUGCGGAUUAAAGGGGGCUUCGGCUCUUGCUUUAAGAUGAACCCAAGUGGGAUUAGCUAGUUGGUGAGGUAAUGGCUCACCAAGGCGACGAUCCCUAGCUGGUCUGAGAGGAUGAUCAGCCACACUGGAACUGAGACACGGUCCAGACUCCUACGGGAGGCAGCAGUGGGGAAUAUUGCACAAUGGGCGAAAGCCUGAUGCAGCCAUGCCGCGUGUGUGAAGAAGGCCCUAGGGUUGUAAAGCACUUUCAGUCAGGAGGAAAGGUUAGUAGUUAAUACCUGCUAGCUGUGACGUUACUGACAGAAGAAGCACCGGCUAACUUCGUGCCAGCAGCCGCGGUAAUACGAGGGGUGCAAGCGUUAAUCGGAAUUACUGGGCGUAAAGCGAGCGUAGGCGGCUGAAUAAGCUGGAUGUGAAAAACCGGGGCUCAACCUCGGCCGUGCAUUCAGAACUGUUUAGCUAGAGUCCUGUAGAGGA
rnacentral:rRNA from 1 species